UGGAAGUAAAAGUCGUAACAAGGUCUCCGUUGGUGAACCAGCGGAGGGAUCAUUACAGAGUUGCAAAACUCCCAAACCAUCGUGAACGUUACCUACAUCGUUGCUUCGGCGGGUGGCGGGCUUCGGCCCUGCCCUCGGCCCCUCUCGGGGGCCCGCCGGAGGUACACCAAACUCUUGAAUUUACAUGGCCUCUCUGAGUCUUCUGUACUGAAUAAGUCAAAACUUUCAACAACGGAUCUCUUGGUUCUGGCAUCGAUGAAGAACGCAGCGAAAUGCGAUAAGUAAUGUGAAUUGCAGAAUUCAGUGAAUCAUCGAAUCUUUGAACGCACAUUGCGCCCGCCAGUAUUCUGGCGGGCAUGCCUGUCCGAGCGUCAUUUCAACCAUCAAGCCCCCGGCUUGUGUUGGGGACCUGCGGCACACCCGCAGGCCCUGAAAACCAGUGGCGGGCUCGCUGUCCACACCGAGCGUAGUAGCAUAUCUUUGUCUCGCUCAGGGCGUGCGGCGGGUUCCGGCCGUGAAACCCACCUUCUCGAAGGUACCCAGAGGUGACCUCGGAUCGG
rnacentral:rRNA from 1 species